rnacentral:rRNA from 2 species
CCCAGACAGCCAGGAUGUUGGCUUAGAAGCAGCCAUCAUUUAAAGAAAGCGUAAUAGCUCACUGGUCGAGUCGGCCUGCGCGGAAGAUGUAACGGGGCUAAACCAUGCACCGAAGCUGCGGCAGCGAACGUAUCACUUAAAGCGAUUCAGCGGGUUACGAUUGACGGAGCGAAGCGACGUCAAAGCGUAUACAAAGUCGAGUCGGUUUAAGGAUACGUUCGUUGGGUAGGGGAGCGUUCUGUAAGCCUGUGAAGGUGGCCUGUGAGGGUUGCUGGAGGUAUCAGAAGUGCGAAUGCUGACAUAAGUAACGAUAAAGCGGGUGAAAAGCCCGCUCGCCGGAAGACCAAGGGUUCCUGUCCAACGUUAAUCGGGGCAGGGUGAGUCGACCCCUAAGGCGAGGCCGAAAGGCGUAGUCGAUGGGAAACGGGUUAAUAUUCCCGUACUUGGUGUUACUGCGAAGGGGGGACGGAGAAGGCUAUGUUGGCCGGGCGACGGUUGUCCCGGUUUAAGCGUGUAGGUGUGUGUUCCAGGUAAAUCCGGUUCACUUUAACACUGAGGCGUGAUGACGAGGCACUACGGUGCUGAAGCAACAAAUGCCCUGCUUCCAGGAAAAGCCUCUAAGCAUCAGGUAACAUCAAAUCGUACCCCAAACCGACACAGGUGGUCAGGUAGAGAAUACCAAGGCGCUUGA